AUGAAGUUAUAUUUGGGGAGUUCUCCUGGCCGAAGAAUGUCAAGACCAACUACAUAAUCUCGGGUUCUGGUAAAGGGGGGCAGCCCAAAGAGUACUAUACCUUGGACUCUAUCUUGUUCUUUCUCAACAAUGUGCACCUGCCGCAUCCAUCCUAUGUGCAAAGAGCUGCAACAGAGAACAUCCGUGCUGUCAGACGACCUGAUCGAAAGGGCUUGCGUACAUAUCUUAAUGGCGAGAGCU